CGCAACCAAUAGGAGCGCUGAUAAAGCCGCGGCCCUCCUGCUUGGUCUAGGACUGAAUUUCAUCACAACACAUCCAGCGAUCUACAGCCAUUUAAAAAUAUAACAAAUCCUUUGUAAAUGUCUCAACGUUGUGGAGAUCACAAUGCUGUCUUAAAGAUUCUCCUUGUGAAGCCGGAAUACAAUGGGAAACAUAAAUAGGACUACAGUCGCUGUGAAACAUCUGGGCUUUAAUCAGGAACACAGGUAUAAUGAAAUUUAAAUUUCUCUUGCUCUUUCAUAGGCCCAUGGAGAAAUCCAAAUAAUAGGAGCACCCGAUCAUUUAA
rnacentral:lncRNA from 1 species